rnacentral:rRNA from 1 species
UGGGGAAUAUUGCACAAUGGAGGGAACUCUGAUGCAGCAACGCCGCGUGCGGGAUGACGGCCUUCGGGUUGUAAACCGCUUUCAGCCAUGACGAAGCUUUUGUGACGGUAGUGGUAGAAGAAGCACCGGCUAACUACGUGCCAGCAGCCGCGGUGAUACGUAGGGUGCGAGCGUUGUCCGGUAUUAUUGGGCGUAAAGAGCUUGUAGGCGGUUUGUCGCGUCGAUAGUGUAAACACGCAGCUUAACUGUGUGCCUGCUGUCGAUACGGGCUGACUAGAGGAGGGUAGGGGAGAAUGGAAUUCCCGGUGGAGCGGUGGAAUGCGCAGAUAUCGGGAGGAACACCAGUGGCGAAGGCGGUUCUCUGGACCUUUCCUGACGCUGAGAAGCGAAAGCGUGGGUAGCAAACAGG